CACGUAGGGGGCGAGCGUUGUCCGGAUUUAUUGGGCGUAAAGAGCUCGUAGGUGGUUCGGUAAGUCGGGUGUGAAACCUCCAGGCUCAACCUGGAGACGCCACCUGAUACUGCUGUGACUGGAGUCCGGUAGGGGAGCGUGGAAUUCCUGGUGUAGCGGUGAAAUGCGCAGAUAUCAGGAGGAACACCAGCGGCGAAGGCGGCGCUCUGGGCCGGUACUGACACUGAGGAGCGAAAGCGUGGGUAGCAAACAGG
rnacentral:rRNA from 1 species